GGGAAGCAGGAAGUGUCUUAGCUUCAGCCUUCUACCCAUGGCUGCCCAGCAGAAGGAGGGCACCAGGCCAGCGACUUCUACAGUAGCAGCCUGAAAGGUCAAACUUCAUGGAAACAACCGGAGUGUUCAGCGAUCUGCAGGUGUGAGGGCCUCCUGGGACUUCUGACUGUGGCUGUGGGCAUCACCAGGACCAGGCUCCAUGGGCCCACUCAGUAUAUUUUUCUUCAUUUUCUCAAACCUGGCCCGAUUCCACCUUAAAUUAAUGUUAAACAGCUUUAUUAAGGCCAAUUGA
rnacentral:lncRNA from 1 species